UACGUAGGGGGCAAGCGUUAUCCGGAAUUAUUGGGCGUAAAGCGCGCAUAGGCGGUCUGUUAAGUCGGAUGUGAAAGGCUACGGCUCAACCGUAGAGUGGCAUCCGAAACUGGCAGACUUGAGUGCAGGAGAGGUGAGUGGAAUUCCCGGUGUAGCGGUGGAAUGCGUAGAGAUCGGGAGGAACACCAGUGGCGAAGGCGGCUCUCUGGCCUGCAACUGACGCUGAGGUGCGAAAGCGUGGGGAGCAAACAGG
rnacentral:rRNA from 1 species